GCACCGUUAGCUCAGUUGGUUAGAGCAUCCGGCUCAUAACCGGACGGUCGUAGGUUCGAGUCCUACACGGUGCA
rnacentral:tRNA from 1 species